UACAGAGGUCUCAAGCGUUGUUCGGAUUCAUUGGGCGUAAAGCGCACGUAGGCGGCUUACUAAGUCAGGGGUGAAAUCCUGGAGCUCAACUCCAGAACUGCCUUUGAUACUGGCGACCUUGAGUCCGGGAGAGGUGAGUGGAACUGCGAGUGUAGAGGUGAAAUUCGUAGAUAUUCGCAAGAACACCAGUGGCGAAGGCGGCUCACUGGCCCGGUACUGACGCUGAGGUGCGAAAGCGUGGGGAGCAAACAGG
rnacentral:rRNA from 1 species